CCAAUAGCGUAUAUUAAAGUUGCUGCAGUUAAAAAGCUCGUAGUUGAAUUUCGGGACUAAUAUGUCGGUCGUGCCUCGGUACGUACUGGUUUAUUGGUUUCUCCUUUCUGAAGAACCAUGAUGUCAUUUAUUUGGUGUCGUGGGGAAUCAGGACUGUUACUUUGAAAAAAUUAGAGUGUUUAAAGCAGGCUCACGCCUGAAUACAUUAGCAUGGAAUAAUGAAAUAGGACGUUUGAUUCUAUUUUGUUGGUUUCUAGGAUCGACGUAAUGAUUAAUAGGGAUAGUUGGGUGCAUUAGUAUUCCAUUGUCAGAGGUGAAAUUCUUGGAUUUAUUGAAGACUAACUACUGCGAAAGCAUUUGCCAAGGAUGUUUUCAUUAAUCAAGAACGAAAGUUAGGGGAUCGAAGACGAUCAGAUACCGUCGUAGUCUUAACCAUAAACUAUGCCGACUAGGGAUCGGAUGAUGCUAAUUUUUUAAUGACUCAUUCGGCGCCUUACG
rnacentral:rRNA from 1 species